rnacentral:rRNA from 1 species
CAUAGAUAGUAAUAUACUCCACUAUCCGCCCGGGAACUACGAGCAUUAGCUUAAAACCCAAAGGACUUGGCGGUGCUUUAGACCCACCUAGAGGAGCCUGUCCUAGAACCGAUAACCCCCGUUCAACCUCACCCCCCUUUGUUUUUCCCGCCUAUAUACCACCGUCGUCAGCUUACCCUGUGAAGGCCCUAUAGUAAGCAAAAUUGGUAAAACCCAAAACGUCAGGUCGAGGUGUAGCGCAUGGGAGGGGAAGAGAUGGGCUACAUUCUCUACUACAGAGAACUACGAAUGUAUUAGUACUGAAAUAUACAACUGAAGGAGGAUUUAGCAGUAAGUGGAAAAUAGAGCGUUCC